rnacentral:rRNA from 1 species
UACGUAGGGACCGAGCGUUGUCCGGAAUCAUUGGGCGUAAAGAGCGUGUAGGCGGUCUGUCGCGUCGGCUGUGAAAUCCCGAGGCUCAACCUCGGGUCUGCAGUCGAUACGGGCAAACUAGAGUAUUGCAGGGGAGACUGGAAUUCCUGGUGUAGCGGUGAAAUGCGCAGAUAUCAGGAGGAACACCGGUGGCGAAGGCGGGUCUCUGGGCAAUAACUGACGCUGAGGAGCGAAAGCGUGGGGAGCGAACAGG